rnacentral:rRNA from 1 species
AUUGAACGCUGGCGGCAGGCCUAACACAUGCAAGUCGAGCGGAUGAACGGAGCUUUCUCCUGUAUUCCGCUGCCGACUGGUGUGUAAUUCCUACGUAUCUGCCUUGUCUUUUUGUAUAACGUCCCUUAACGGGCGCUAAUCCCGCAUACGUCCUUCUGGUGAAACUGGUGGUUCUUCGGACCUCACGCUAUCUGAUGAGCCUAGGUCGGAUUAGCUAGUUGGUGUGGUAAAGGCCUACCAAGGCGACGAUCCGUAACUGGUCUGAGAGGAUGAUAAGUCACACUGGAACUGAGACACGGUCCAGACUCCUACGGGAGGCAGCAGUGGGGAAUAUUGGACAAUGGGCGAAAGCCUGAUACAGCAAAGCCGCGUGUGUGAAGAAGGUCUUCGGAUUGUAAAGCACUGUAAGUAGGGAGGAAGGGAAGUAAGAUAAAAAAUAGCUGUAUUGACGGUACCAAAAGAAUAAGCACCGGCUAACUACGUG